CGCAGCCUCUAGGAGGGCAUGGCAGGAGAAAAGGACAAGCGGGCCCUGCACUGCAGGGCACAGCCCUGGGAGUGUAAGGAUUCAGGCCAACUCCAUCCAGGACACUCCGGAAAGGGGUGAGCAAGGCAAAACGGUGGUCUCCCGGAGAUGCCAGAUGGGAUCAGCACAGCCCAGAAAGCAUUUAUUCCUCAUUUUCUAAAGGACAAUUUAAGGUUCUGGAACAAAAACGUGCUGCUGGCUGCCAGUGCUGAUUUUAUUAAAUCAUGCACACUUGCAAGGAAUACAGACAUGAAGGACUCAGCUGAAACGCCAAGAAAAUGUUUUCGGAAAUUUUUUUUUUUCUCAAAUUCUUUUCAAAAAAUGCAAAAAUGUCCUCAGACCACAGCCUUUCCGCGAGUUUUCAACCUUCCCUUUCCCA